CUUGAAUAAUAGGGUUUUUUUUAUUCAAUUAAUUAAAUCUUAAUUUCAUACUAACAUAUUUGAUUGAUUUUGAUGUAAAUAGGCCGGCGGCGAGGGAUCUGUUAAAUUGCAAGAUUGCCCAGAAGCCUGCGAUGUCCGAUGCUCAGCAACCUCACACAAGAGUGCAUGCACUUUCUUCUGCAACUAUUGCUGCAAAAAAUGCUUGUGUGUUCCCUCAGGCACAUACGGUCACAAGGAUGAGUGUCCAUGCUACAGAGAUAUGAAAACACAAGAGGGCAAACCCAAGUGCCCAUGAAGCGGAAACGGCAGCCAACCAAACAAGUUUUCUUUGUUAGGUUGUGAUUUGAUCACAGAUUAAAUUAAUUUCUCCACAGAUAUGCUUGUAAAAUCGAUGGAAUUGUCUUUUAAGACAUUGAAAUAUUUUAAGUUAUAAUUUUAAAAAUAAAUUUAUUAUUAAUAAUAUUAGCUCUUAUAUUCC